UCCGGCAGGUGGUAUUUUUUUUGUUGCAGGAAUUCGCUCUGCAAUCCGCAAUAAUUUGCUUUACAAAGGAUUUUUAACUGUUUUUCGUGGAAUAUUUGUAUUUUUUCGGGUUUGUAUGCGAUCUAGGCGACUUAAUAAUUUCAGCUUGGCGUUUUCGCAUCAGAAUGUAAGUAUUUAAUUCCUUUAUCAUUUUCCUAAAUAACUUUUAUGAUUAUUGUACAAAUUGACCCCAAAAAUAAAUUGCAUUUUUAUGUUUGAAGGACUAAUUUUUGCUUGUCUUAGGGAUUUUGUACCUGAAUCUGACAUUGUAGAAGGACCAUUCUGGUGUCAGAUUGUCAGUAAUUAAUUCCUUUAUCAUUUUCCUAAAAAACUUUUAUGAUUAUGGUACAAAUUGACCCCCAAAAUUGCAUUCUUAUGUUCGAAGGACUAAUUUUUGCAUGUUUUAGGUAUUUUGCACCUAAGUCUGACAUUGUAGAAGGACCAUUUUUACAUCAGAUUAGAUUUUGCACCUGAGUCUGACAUCGUAGAAGAACCAGUUUUGCAUCAGAUUGCAAGUUUUUUGCACCUGAGUCUGACAUUGUUGAAGGACC